rnacentral:lncRNA from 1 species
GCAUUUUACUUCAUCAUACAUCUUGUUAGUGUAAAUACAUGAUCAGACGCUCGAAUGAUACAAGCACACACACAUAUGACAGUAGAAGAGUUUCACACACAUGCCACGACGCAUCUGUCAUUUUCUACCAAUUCUCAACAUCAACUUGCUGGAGCACGCAGAAAACACACAAAAGCUCCUCAUCUCCACCCGCGGCGCCUAUACUAUACACACAGCUGUCUCUCUCACACACACACACACACACACACACAUUCACUUGCUGUCUCUCUCACACACAUACACACACAUUCACUUGCUGUCUCUCUCUCUCUCACACACACACACACACACACAGCUGUCACACACACAACACACAUUCACUUGCUGUCUCUCUCACACACAUACACACACAUUCACUUGCUGGCUCUCUCUCUCACACACACACACACACACACACACACACACAUUCACUUGCUGUCUCUCUCACACACAUACACACAUUCACUUGCUGUAUCUCUCUCACACACAUACAUACACACACACACACACACACAGCUGUCACACACACCACACACAUUCACUUGCUGUCUCUCUCACACACAUACACACUCACUUGCUGUCUCUCUCACACAUAUACACACACACACACAACACACAUUCACUUGCUGUCUCUCUCACACACACACAUUCACUUGCUGUCUCUCUCACACACAUACACACACACACACUCACUUCCUGUCUCUCUCACACACAUACACACACACACACUCACUUGCGGUCUCGCUCACACACACACAUACACACACACUCACUUGCUGUCUCUCUCACGCACACACACACACUCACUUGCUGUCUCUCUGAAUGUGUGUGUGUGUGUGUGUGUGGUGUCUGAGAGUGUGUGUGUGUGUGUGUGUGUGUCUGAGAGAGAGAGCAAGUGUGUGUGUGUGUGUGAGAGAGAGAGACAGCAAGUGUGUGUGUGAGUGAGAGAGACAGCAAGUGUAAGUGUGUGACACAUACACACACACAUUCACUUGCUGUCUCUCUCUCACACACACACACAUUCACUUGCUGUCUCUCUCUCUCACACACACACAUUCACUUGCUGUCUCUCUCUCUCACACACGCGCUGUCUCUCUCUCUCUCACACACACACACACUUGCUCUCUCUCUCUCACACACACACACACUGU